AUCCGGAAACGGGUGCUAAUACCGCAUAGUUUUCUUUGAUCGCAUGAUUGAGAAAGGAAAGACGGCCUUUGUGCUGUCGCUUAUGGAUGGACCCGCGGCGUAUUAGUUAGUUGGUGAGGUAACGGCUCACCAAGACGAUGAUACGUAGCCGACCUGAGAGGGUGAUCGGCCACAUUGGGACUGAGACACGGCCCAAACUCCUACGGGAGGCAGCAGUAGGGAAUCUUCCGCAAUGGACGAAAGUCUGACGGAGCAACGCCGCGUGAGUGAAGAAGGUUUUUUCCGGGAUCGUAAAACUCUGUUGUCAGAGAAGAACAAGUUGGAGAGUGACUGCUCCAGCCUUGACGGUAUCUGACCAGAAAGCCACGGCUAACUACGUGCCAGCAGCCGC
rnacentral:rRNA from 1 species